CCUANGGGGGGCAGCAGUCGGGAAUUUUGGGCAAUGGGCGAAAGCCUGACCCAGCAACGCCGCGUGAGGGAUGAAGGCCUUCGGGUCGUAAACCUCUGUCGGGAGGGAAGAACGUCUUCGGGGUAAAUAAUCCCGGAGGCUGACGGUACCUCCAAAGGAAGCGCCGGCUAACUCCGUGCCAGCAGCCGCGGUAAUACGGAGGGCGCGAGCGUUGUUCGGAAUCAUGGGGCGUAAAGCGCGUGUAGGCGGCUUGGUAAGUCGAGUGUGAAAGCCCGGGGCUCAACCCCGGAAGGUCGCUCGAAACUGCCUCGCUAGAGUCCCGGAGAGGAAGGCGGAAUUCCCGGUGUAGAGGUGAAAUUCGUAGAUAUCGGGAGGAACACCAGCGGCGAAGGCGGCCUUCUGGACGGUGACUGACGCUGAGACGCGAAAGCGUGGGGAGCAAACAGGAUUAGAUACCCGUNUANUC
rnacentral:rRNA from 1 species